rfam:Hordeum vulgare subsp. vulgare, WGS project CAJW01000000 data, contig: morex_contig_53437
CAGGUACUCCCUCCGUCCGGAAUUACUUGUCGCACAAAUGGAUAAAAAUGACGUAUCUAAAACUAAAAUACAUCUAGAUACAUCCAUUUCAAUGACAAGUAUUUUCGGAUGGAGGGAGUACUGU